CACGUAGGGGGCAAGCGUUGUCCGGAUUUAUUGGGCGUAAAGAGCUCGUAGGCGGUUCGGUAAGUCAGGUGUGAAACCUCCAGGCUCAACCUGGAGACGCCACCUGAUACUGCUGUGACUCGAGUCCGGUAGGGGAGCGUGGAAUUCCUGGUGUAGCGGUGAAAUGCGCAGAUAUCAGGAGGAACACCGGUGGCGAAGGCGGGUCUCUGGACCGAGACGUGACGCUGAGGCGCGAAAGCGUGGGGAGCAAACAGGA
rnacentral:rRNA from 1 species